AUACCAUGAUAAGGACAUCUCCUGAGUAGAUCUUUGAAUCUUUCUCUUCCAUCAUAAACUCUCAUCUUCAAGUUGAUGGAAAUAUGUGAUCUCAUUCCUCAAUUU
rfam:Citrus clementina cultivar Clemenules unplaced genomic scaffold scaffold_3, whole genome shotgun sequence.